GGCCUAUUAGCUCAGUUGGUUAGAGCGUCGUGCUAAUAACGCGAAGGUCACAAGUUGGAGACCUGUAUAGGCCU
rnacentral:tRNA from 1 species